AAGAAUUUCCUGCGGUUCCUCUAGGAAAAUUCCUUUGUGCAGAUCAGGCCCGUGGAUUGGUGAGUGAAUCCUAACCACGUCUUCCCUGGCCUGUCUUCACUCUUCUCCCCAGAAUCACCACUUCUGCACUGGUGUCUGAAGGUGUAUUGAGUGAUUUUGUGGAGGGCAGAAGUAGGAAGUCUUUGGGACAAAACUGUAUUUACCUUGGGAUCUGUGAACAAGAGGAACCUCAGCAGCCAGGACAGGCAGGAGCAGUGGAAUAGCUACUAUGGCUUCUGGAAUCCUGGUUAAUGUAAAGGAGGAGGUGACCUGCCCCAUCUGCCUGGAACUCCUGACACAACCCCUGAGCCUGGACUGCGGCCACAGCUUCUGCCAAGCAUGCCUCACUGCAAACCACAAGAAGUCCAUGCUAGACAAAGGAGAGAGUAGCUGCCCUGUGUGCCGGAUCAGUUACCAGCCUGAGAACAUACGGCCUAAUCGGCAUGUAGCCAACAUAGUGGAGAAGCUCAGGGAGGUCAAGUUGAGCCCAGAGGGGCAGAAAGUUGAUCAUUGUGCACGCCAUGGAGAGAAACUUCUACUCUUCUGUCAGGAGGACGGGAAGGUCAUUUGCUGGCUUUGUGAGCGGUCUCAGGAGCACCGUGGUCACCACACGUUCCUCACAGAGGAGGUUGCCCGGGAGUACCAAGUGAAGCUCCAGGCAGCUCUGGAGAUGCUGAGGCAGAAGCAGCAGGAAGCUGAAGAGUUAGAAGCUGACAUCAGAGAAGAGAAAGCUUCCUGGAAGACUCAAAUACAGUAUGACAAAACCAACGUCUUGGCAGAUUUUGAGCAACUGAGAGACAUCCUGGACUGGGAGGAGAGCAAUGAGCUGCAAAACCUGGAGAAGGAGGAGGAAGACAUUCUGAAAAGCCUUACGAACUCUGAAACUGAGAUGGUGCAGCAGACCCAGUCCCUGAGAGAGCUCAUCUCAGAUCUGGAGCAUCGGCUGCAGGGGUCAGUGAUGGAGCUGCUUCAGGGUGUGGAUGGCGUCAUAAAAAGGACGGAGAACGUGACCUUGAAGAAGCCAGAAACUUUUCCAAAAAAUCAAAGGAGAGUGUUUCGAGCUCCUGAUCUGAAAGGAAUGCUAGAAGUGUUUAGAGAGCUGACAGAUGUCCGACGCUACUGGGAAGACUAGAUGAGAUGAAGAGAGCAGUUGUCACAUCUGGGUAAAAGUCUCAUCAUCAGGGCAAAGAACAGGUGGGAAUGUAUCCAGAGAAUCAACAUACAAUGAGCAAAAGUGAAGCUUUUCCUAGACUUGACCCUCAUCAAAUCUCCUCUGUCCCCACUCUCUUCUGAAGAAGGAAAGGUCUGAUGAAUACAUGUAAAGCUUAUUGAGCCUCAGAACUCUAACUACAGGGUUUCAAUAGCACAGAAACUCUGAGAAGAAAAAGAAUGUCAAAGUUCCUCCCUAAGGAGACUGAUUAGAUGCAAGUGUGUCCGGAAUUGGUGGGUUCUUGGUCUGACUUCAAGAAUGAAGCCGCGGACCCUCACGGUGAGUAUUACAGUUCUUGAAGACUGCGUGUCCAGAGUUUGUUCCUUCUGAUGUUCAGAUGUGUUUGGAGUUUUUUCCUUCUGGUGGGUUCGUGGUCUCGCUAGCUCAGGAGUGAAGCUGCAUACCUUCGCGGUGAGUGUUACAGCUCAUAAAAGCAGUGUGGACCCAAAGAGUGAGCAGUAACAAAAUUUAUUGCAAAGAGCAAAAGAACAAAGCUUCCACAGUGUGGAAGGUGACCCCAGUGGGUUGCCACUGCUGGCUCAGGCAGCCUGCUUUUAUUCUCUUAUCUGGCCCCACCCACAUCCUGCUGAUUGGUAGAGCCCAGUGGUCUGUUUUGACAGGGCGCUGAUUGGUGCAUUUACAAUCCCUGAGCUAGAUACAAAGCUUCUCCACGUCCCCAUCAGAUUAGUUAGAUACAGUGUGUCCAUACAAAGGUUCUCCAAGGCCCCACCAGAGCAGCUAGAUACAGAAUAUCUAUUGGUGCACUCACAAACCCUGAGCUAGACACAGGGUGCUGAUUGGUGUGUUUACCUUGAGCUAGAUACAGAGUGCCGAUUGGUGUAUUUACAAUCCCUGAGCUAGACAUAAAGGUUCUCCAAGUCCCCACCAGACUUAGGAGCCCAGCUGGCUUCACCUAGUGGAUCCCACACAGGGGCUGCAGGUGGAGUUGCCUGCCAGUCCUGCGCCAUGCACCCGCACUCCUCAGCCCUUGGGUGGUCGAUGGGACUGGGCGCCCUGGAGCAGGGGGUGGCACUCGUUGGGGAGGCUCCAGCCGCACAGGAGCCCAUGGAGGCGGGGGAAGGCUCACGCAUGGCGGGCUGCAGGUCCCGAGGCCUGCCCCGCAGGAAGGCAGCUAAGGCCCGGCAAGAAAUCGAGCGCAGUGCCGGUGGGCUGGCACUGCUGGGGGACCCAGUACACCCUCCGCAGCCGCUAGCCCGGGUGCUAAGCCCCUCGUUGCCCGGGCCGGCAGGGCAGGCCGCCUGCUCCCAGUGCGGGGCCCGCCAAGCCCACGCCCACCCGGAACUCCAGCUGGCCCGCAAGCGCCGCGCGCAGACCCGGUUCCCACUCGCGCCUCUCCCUCCACACCUCCCUGCAAGCUGAGGGAGCCGGCUCUGGCCUUGGCCAGCCCAGAAAGGGGCUCCCACAGUGCAGCGGUGGGCUGAAGGGCUCCUCAAGUGCCGCCAAAGUGGGAGCCUAGGCAGAGGAGGCACCGAGAGCGAGGGAGGGCUGUGAGGACUGCCAGCACGCUGUCACCUCUCACAAGUAGACCAUUCCUAUAGUCCACUAAUUUGUCUUUUUUGUUUUAGCCUGAUUUCUGUUAAAAGAUGUUUUCUUUUUUUAAAAAAAAUGAGAGUUUAUGGACAUAUAAAAUGAACACAUGCCGAAGAUUUAUUUAGUUAAUUAAGGAGAGAAUCAGCAAGAUGGUGUAACCAACCCAAAGGAGAAUUUAAAAACACACAUAAAUACAAGUGAUCAGAAAAACUUGCAAUGAAUUUACAAAGAGAUGAAAACAAGUCAACAUCCACAACAGAAUCAUCAAAUACAUGUCUAUUUGAGACAAUUAAUUUGCAUUUCUAUGGGCAAAAUCACUUGCAUGAUUUUCAGCUCAAUAUAAUUUCCAUAAUAAAUUAUAUUAACCUCAAAGACGAUACAAAGCUAAGAAAACUCAGAAGAGGACACUAGAUGAGUAAGCAUUUUUUUAUUUUAAAAUCUUUCAUAAUUUUUCCUCUAAGAUUCCAUCUACAGUGACUAUUUGACCAGUUUAGAAUACAAAUAAAUAUGCUCCACUGUAUUUAUUAUAACCUCUCAGCUUGGAUUUUUGAGGAAAAGAAAAACUUCAAUUGUCUGAGAUAGGUAUGAUAAAAAUGUGUGGCAGGGGGCCCUGGCUCACGUCUGUAAAUCCAGCACUUUGGGAGGCCGAGGCGGGCGGAUCAUCUGAGGUCAGGAGUUCAAGACCAGCCUGGCCAACAUGGUGAAACCCUGCCUCUACUAAAAAUAUAAAAAAAUUAGCCAGGUGUGGUGACAUGUGCCUGUAAUCCCAGCUACAUAGGAGGCUGAGGCAGGAGAAUCACUUGAACCCAGGAGGUGGAGGUCGCAGUGGGAUGAGAUAGCACCACUGCACUCCAGCCUGGGCAACAAAGCGACACUCCAUCUCAAAAAAGAAAAAAAAAAAAUCUGUGGGCAGGUAGAAGGAGUUACCAAAAGCUAAAAUGGAACAUACACCCUAGGAUUGUUUAAUUCUAAUCACAAUUGAUGUCAACAUAGACAUGUAAACAAGUGCUUUUUAAAAAGCUUCUCAUUAAUAAAAUUAGUAUAAAGAAA